rnacentral:lncRNA from 1 species
GUCUUGAUUACUGCAAAGAGAACGUGGUCCCCACAGACUGGGUACAUGUUUAGACCUUCAGAGCUUAGAGGAGACCACUUUUAGGGCUAGUUUUCAGGAACACCUGGUGCUGGUGGUUUAAGGAGAAGGCAGGGUUUGGGAUGUGCUCUCCUGCAGCGCUCUGCGCGUUGAAGAACCCGGCUCUGGGCUGGACUCCCAUCAGCCGAGCACCGAGGCCACCCAGGAGAUGGUGCUCUUGAACCAGCAAACGGCGCAGCCCUGACCCAGAAGCAUCCUUCAACGCAGCCCUCCCUGUUUUCUUCUUGUGUUGCACGUUAUUCUUUGGGAUUCCCGUUUUCUUUGGGGAGAAGAAUGUGCUGGUGUUGAGCCCGGAGUGUAUUCCCCUCCGAUCCAUAAUGCGAUUCCCAGGCAGGUGAUCCUAUGCCCGCGUCUGAAAUGACGCUGGUGCUCAAAGGAGGCGUUUUUUCCCUGGACUGCGUGGCUGGCAAGAUGCUAGAGCCGAGCAGGGAGCAGCUUCGUGGCUGAUUGCCCUGACCAGAGCCUGGGACGUGCUGCACCCAAGCCAAACAUCUGCUGGGUGCUGGCUCCAUCGCUACCAAGGGUGGUGAGCAGCAAGACUGGGUGCAGGGGCUCCCCACGGCCUCCCUGCCAUCCCACAGGACAGCCUGUUCCUGCAGACACGUGUCUCGGAAAGGUGAUAAGUCCUGGCGCAAAGCGCGGCUGGUUGGAUCUGGGCAGUGGUUGGAACCCGCAACGGGGGUCUAUGUAGAAAAGGGCCGGGUGCCCUCUCUCGGUCAACUUCGCAAUAGCAUCCAAAACCGAGACUGAAGUAGCACAUGGGAAUGAAACAACCCGAUUGCUUCAGUAAUGGAACGAGGCUUAAAUGCUUGUGACCAAAUUAAGAAAAAUGUUUAUUUAAAUGCAGGGCUAGGAGCUACAGAUAAGAAUCUAAUCCCACAGUGCUUCUCCAGCUUUGGGUGAGAAAUGGUAGCCCAUCCCAACAGCGGGACUAAUAGACCUCUCUACUGUUCCUUAGGUACUGAUAAAAGCUACAAGUGAACAAGUCAACAUUCCUUAGCUUGGUGUUGUUAUGGUCUUUCCUGUUUGUCUUAUGUCAUUUAUCACAGCUGUGUUUUGUCAUGUAAUUUGCAUUUUGAAGAAACACUGUGACUAGUUAUUUCAACAUAGUAGCAGUUGAGUGAAAGAU